GACGAACGCUGGCGGCGCGCCUAACACAUGCCAGUCGAACGAGCGAGCGAGAGCUUGCUUUCUCGAGCGAGUGGCGAACGGGUGAGUAACGCGUGAGGAACCUGCCUCAAAGAGGGGGACAACAGUUGGAAACGACUGCUAAUACCGCAUAAGCCCACGGUGCCGCAUGGCACAGAGGGAAAAGGAGCAAUCCGCUUUGAGAUGGCCUCGCGUCCGAUUAGCUAGUUGGUGAGGUAAUGGCCCACCAAGGCGACGAUCGGUAGCCGGACUGAGAGGUUGAACGACCACAUUGGGACUGAGACACAGCCCAGACUCCUACGGGAGGCAGCAGUGGGGAAUAUUGCACAAUGGGGGAAACCCUGAUGCAGCGACGCCGCGUGGAGGAAGAAGGUCUUCGGAUUGUAAACUCCUGUUGUUGGGGAAGAUAAUGACGGUACCCAACAAGGAAGUGACGGCUAACUACGUA
rnacentral:rRNA from 1 species